ACUCAAUAGAUACCCUGGUAGUCCUGGCAGUAAACGGUGCACGUUUGGUGUGGGAGGAAUCGACCCCUUCCGUGCCGGAGCUAAACGCGUUAAACGUGCCGCCUGGGGAGUACGGUCGCAAGAUUAAAACUCAAAGAAAUUGACGGGGGCCCGGCACAAGCGGUGGAGUAUGUGGCUUAAUUCGAUGCAACGCGAAGAACCUUACCUGGGCUCGACAUGCAUCUCUAAGUCGGUGAAAGCCGGCGAGUCCCGCAAGGGACAAUUUGCACAGGUGCUGCAUGGCUGUCGUCAGCUCGUGUCGUGAGAUGUUGGGUUAAAGUCCCGCAACGAGCGCAACCCCUGUGACCUGUUGCCACCUCUCUUCGGAGAGAGCACUCUGGUCAGACUGCCCUGUGAAACGGGGAGGAAGGUGGGGAUGACGUCAAGUCAGCAUGGCCCUUACGCCCAGGGCUGCACACGUACUACAAUGCCUGGUACAGAAUGAACCGAGACCGCGAGGUGGAGGAAAUCCAUGAAAACCAGGCCCAAUUCGGAUC
rnacentral:rRNA from 1 species